GGAUGCUCUCGAUUGUGCAUCUGUAGAAGUUUGUGAGUGCUUUUGGUGACAAGCCGAAUUUCUUCAGCCUCCUGAGGUUGAAGAGGCGCUGCUGCGCCUUCCUCUUAUUAUUGACAAGUCCUUCGUGAACUAGCCAGCUAGUUAACUUUAGCUCACAGUUUAUGUAGUCAUACUUUUUCACGUGGUGACAUGCUAGCCCACCAAAGCAAGGAUAUAUCCAGCUAUAUAUUGCCUGAUGGGCUAGCUGGUUAGGCACCUUGGUUGCCUAGUUGGCUACAUUAGCUAAAGUUAACUAGCUAAUGUUGCACCGUAUCUCACUGUCGUGUAGUCUGACUUUCCCAACAGGCGAUGGAUGACAUGUUAGAGAAAACAUUAAAUAUCCCUGCCCUGGUGGACUAGUUAGCAUGUCACCACCACUGGGGUCUGGGGAAAAGUCUGACUCCACGAACGAUGAGCUAACGUAACUAGCUAGUUAAACUUUCACUAAAUAUCCUGGUGGGCUAACAUUAGCUAGCAUGUCAAAAGUGUGACUACACGAACGGUGAGCUAACGUUAACUAUCUGGCCAGCUAGCUCACAAAGGACGUGUGGGCUCAAUGUUUUCCCAUACAUAACACAAACGGUUUUGUUCCAUUACUGCAUCUGUUGGACAUGACUGAUCAAAUGGCCUGUGGAGUCAGGGAUGAAAAUUAAGCUAGCCCGAGGCUAGUACUUUUCAGACUGGGCUAGUGGACAAUGUGCCAAACUAGCCUGACACAGCAGUGAAAUUUUGCCUUUACAAACAUCGCAUGCCACAGAUAUAAGACCUACAUGCUAGUAGAAAUCAUGGUCUGCUGGCCAUUACCCCAAAUCCUUAUGUUCCAUCCCUGCAUCUCAGUCCAGAUGAUCCCCCUACUACUGUUGGUCCUCAGUGACCUCACGGCUGAGGGAUUUAACUUUCCUCUUGAGAAUUAGAAUCAGACGUACAGUCUUAUAGCUCAUAGCAAUACUUCACAUCUUCAGGCAAAUAGUACCCUAGACUGUCCUGAUCAUCUAGUUGAGCAUUCCAAAUAAUUCCUCCAUCCCAGCAGAAAUGUUCCAUCCACAUAGUAGGAUUUUAGAUGUGCAGCUAGAUCAAAACCCAGUCUAUUUUACCGUUACUAUAGUCAAGUCUGUAGGUUAUGGUAUUUUAAUAUAGAUGUUACCAUUUUAGUAAUUCUUUUAGCUAGCUACUUUCAGAUGGGCGAACUGGAAACCCAGUGACAACACACUGGUCUGCAGCUGCCAUUUUCUGUUGGGAAAGAUAAAUGGCCCAGUAUUUACCAGAAAAAAGGUAGCUCAUCCCCCAUGGCAGAAGAGGAAGAUCCAGACUGUCGAUUGGGAAACAAGAACAAACAAUGAGUCCAACAGGAGUGUAUCCCUCAGACAAUCCGGUGCAUGGAUAUCUUGUACCAGUUGUGAUCCGAGCGCGAGCGUCUAGUUGUGGAGACUACAGCAGAUCGAGCAUGUGGACGGACAGACAUGAGGCGUGACAUGCAGAACAUCAAGCUCACCCCACGAGAAGCAGUGCAUGAUCAACGCCAUCCUCAGCAAGGAGAUCUGCUGGAAGUGAUGUACUCUCUCACUCACUCCCUCUGGGGGUAAGACCUAAUUUAAACAUCACAGAAAUAUUUUCCCACUGUGCCCAUGAUAAAAUGCAAUGUCAACUGUUUUACUACUGAAUGAAACGGAGGAGAUGCAUUCAGACCAGCCUGUGAUUGAACUUAACUAUAUUACUUUAGUUGGCUGCUGUGAGCAAAACUUGAAUAUAAUAGAACCUAUUCUAGGAACCUUUUGUUUGUGUAUGAUCUUUAUUCAUUGUUCACUUGUUUUUCAACAAUGUCAGGUACAGGCAGGGAUGACUGGGGCCUUCAUCAAGACACUGGGUUAAAAAAUAAUUUGAACAUCACAUGUAUAAAUUCCCACUGUGCCCAUGAUAAUGUUAACCACAAAUGUAUUUGUAUGUAAUAUAACCUAUUAUGGGAGCCUAGUGUGUUUGUAUGAACUGUGUGGAAUAUUUUUGGAAUAUGAGUCUGUCAGAGGUUGUCAUGCUGGAUGGGGAUGAUGACGGAGGCUUUGGUGGUCCACACAACAAAGAAGUAGGUGUCCCUUCCAGUGAUGAGGAUCUGAACUUGGACCUGGUACCAGUAAGAAUGGUCUUUACAGAGGUGGCAAGAUCCUACCUCCUUGAUAUAGAAAUCCUUUGACUUCACUGCCUCUUCAGUGGUAAGAUCCCUUGCACCAUAGGGACACUUGACCUCCACCACUGCUGUGGUACCCACCAGGCCAUCCGGUGAGGCACCCAGGAUCCCAGACUCCAUGACCCAAAGCCUUGACUCCUGCAGAUCCAUCCCUGUAGCCAUUUUUAAUGCCCUCGUCUUUGAUAUCUAUGCCCCACUUUACAGACAACAAUUCAACCAAUGACUGUGAUCGGAGGACCCUUUUUGGCAGCAACAGAGUAACGGGCUUGGCCAUAACCACUGCUCCAUAACUGCUGGCCGUCAACCUCCCUCUCCUCAUGGUGUGCCAGUUGGGGUUGGUGCGCUGUCCAACUUGGUGCGCUGGGGUUGGUGCGCUGCCGUAAAGCCUCCUGCUGCUCCACCGACAGCGCCAUGCCAGCCAGGAUGCCUGCAAGCCCCAGGUUCCCUUGCUUCUAAACAAUGUCCGGUACACACAGGGAUGACAGAAAGGGUAGCGGUUGAUCUGGCUCAGGUUCAUGGAGAUAUGCCAUUCCAUUGAACUUGCCCUGGAGACGGUUCCUUAGCCACUGAAGAUCGUCCUCUGUGGGAUCCCCUGGACAGAGGGUUGCAGUCUUCGGCCGGGUACAGGUCCGCCACUAAUUGCACCUAGUUGGGCACGGCUGGCUUAGGCUAUAUGGCUACACUUACGAGCUCCACAGAGGCAUUCGCAUGGGGUAGAGAGAAUCCCCUGGUCACCUAUAGACACCUGCCAAGAGGAAGGAUGUUAAGUGCCACGUCUUUCAAUGCAUGACUUUGAACACCUUAAAUCAUUUGUUAUAAGAAAUGUGCUAUAUAAAUAAAGUUUGAUUUGAUUGAUGACAUUAGAAGGUGUAUAAUAUUUCAUAAACUGUAAUUUUCGAGGACAAGUGCAGUUUUCCCAUAAAUGUGUAAUUAAUAACUUGGGAUUUUAUCACUUGACAUGUAAAUCAUAAAGUGGGAAGGAUCCUAUAAAUCAAGACUGUAAAUAAAUAAUGUGCCUUUGAAGAUUUGUCUCUGGUAAUGCAAGUACAAUACAGGCUCGAUUUCUAAACAAAGUCAAUUCUGAAUGUCAAUAGAUUUUUAGAUUAAUUCUCAAUGACAACAUUCUAGAACUGAGUUAUCACUCACCUAAGUCUGG